GUUUCCGUAGGUGAACCUGCUGCUGGAUCAUUACCCAAGUGAUACCAAUUCACCACCUACCUGCUGUCCAGUUGAGUCAGUGUGGGCAACACCACAUGCCUCCGUUUGUUGUUGACGGACACAUGCCCGCUGUGUAUGGGCUGGCACAUUGACCAACAAUGUACGGACAGCGCCCUGUGGGCACAUGAGUGUUGGGGUGUAACCGAUGUUGGUGGCCCGAUGGGCGAGUCGACAAUUGCUGCUGUUGUCGGGUCGCUGUACCAACGGAGGUGGCACGCCCACAGGGCACCCUAACGGCUGUGCUGGCGUCUGUGCGUCGUUGAGCGGUUGUUGCGCCUUGCGUGGAUAUGCUGACAUGGAUGUAUACUGCGAUUCCAUGUUGUACGUGCCGUACCCAGCGGCAUGUCUGCGCUUGUGUGCUACGUCCGUGGCCGUGAUGAGACGACGUGUUAGGACCCGUGCCUGGCAUUGGCACGUGGUUUAAGACUUGAUGAGUGCCCGCAUUUAUUUUUUUUGCAAUUCGAUUGCUAAAAUAUUCUAGUCUUAUCGGUGGAUCACUCGGCUCGUGGAUCGAUGAAGAACGCAGCCAACUGCGAUAAUUAGUGUGAACUGCAGAAACCUUGAACACAGAACUUUCGAAUGCACAUUGCGCCAUUGGAGUGACAUCCAUUGGCACGCCUGGUUCAGGGUCGUAACCAAAAAAUGCACUGCAUGUGCGUGUUUUAUUUGCUAAGAUCACGCUUCGGCGUGUUCUUGCAUACCAUUGAAUGCUACGCUGUGUAGCGUUGGACGUGCUGGCGCGAAACUGUGUUGUCUUUCGCGCUUUACAGACCGUAAUUUAGGCACGUCCUUCGUUCACAUGCGAUAGCUGAAUGCCUCGCCAAUAGGCAUUUGCAAUUGAACAUUUCGACCUGAACUCAGACGUGAACACCCGCUGAACUUAAGCAUAU
rnacentral:rRNA from 1 species